CGGCGCUGAUGUAGAUCUCGAUGCGAUAAUGCGGAAGAGGAGGAGGGGGGCAGCGUGGAUCCGAAGCGACAGCGGCGGCUCAACGGAAAUCCAUCAUCGCCCGCCCCUUUCGGCUUCCGACAGGUCCCGGACGAAGCGAGAAUGAGAGAUUGGAGAGGGAAAUGGAGAUUAAGCAACUCAGAGGAGAGCUGCUGGCUCAAGCAAAACAGAAGGAUUCACUUAUGUAAUUUUUGUUACUGUUUGAACUGCUUGAUUCACUGGCAAACUUAGUUUGCUAAUGCUUUGGUUUCUCUCAGAAUGAUGUUAUCUUGCCAUUUUAUGCUGGCAAUAAGAUAGGGGGUCAUAUGUUGAACUUCCUCUCAUUAUCAUGUAUAAGCUUGACUUUUGAAUGGAUUUGAAAGUAUAUUAACUUUGCAUUA